rnacentral:misc_RNA from 1 species
AGGAGGCGCAGUCGCAAGAGGCUCUAUACCGGGCGCUUCCUGGCCAAGCAGCGUCGGAGCUCCCUGGCGCUACGGCGCCAUGAGGAGACGCGCGUGCAUUAAGGUUACGCUAAAGGAAAGCGGCCACCGCAGCUGUAGCAAUGCUCGAUCCCAGCGAACCACCUCGUCCUUCCGUGCAGCAUGUAGGAAGGUCUGCGAAAGCUGGCACUGCUGUGCCGCGAGGGCGUCACCGGCAACAAGGUCAAUCCGCGCCGUCGCUGGAUCGCGGGGCGUAUCAUCUCGCCCCUCUCGACCGUGCCCUCGCUACAGUAGCGGCUCCGCACUUACCAGUACAGACGCAGAGGGCAUCGCUUCCUUUUGCGCAGCUUCCUGCUCCUCUCGCCCGCCAGUUGGUGUCGAGCGACGCUGCCACCGGUCCGGUGCAGAUGUGGCCCGCCGUGACGUCAUCGCGUCAGCGUCGUCGCCAGGCGGCGCUUAAUUCAAAGGCACCAUUCGCGUUGCAACUGGAGGCGUUCAUCCGCCGCGAGCAUCAGCAGUACCUACGCGAGCACCCUCUGUGCUCUCGAGCGGACUGCCUGCACAUCUUCCGGGAGGUGUUCAGCACGUUUGUGAACCACUUCUCCGAGUACAAGGGCAUUCUCUCCAUCAUUCGCGAUGAGUACGACGCGGCGCUGAACGAGAUGUCGGAGAAGGUAAAGCGGAUGCAGGUGGAGUACCUGGAGAGCCAAACGGAUCGGGAGCUGCACGCCAUGGAGAUCAUUCAGCUGAAGGAGUCGAUGAAUGCGACAAUCAGCAACCAAAAGGCGCAGCUCAGCGCCGCGCAGGAGCUCGUGCAUGCCAUGCGCGAUCAGGUCACAGCAGCUGAGCACGCGAACUCCUUGCUGACCUUGGAGAUGGAGCAGAAACGCAAAACGCACAUGGAGGCGCAGCAGCAAGUGAAGCUGCUGUCGCAUGCGAUGAUUGAGGAGAGCGCCCGCACAGCUGCGGCGCGUGAAGCGACGCGCAAGAUGGAGAAGGAGAGUCAGCUGCAGGAGGCGCGCAUCACCGUGCUGAAGGAGCAAGUAGCGGAGCUUGAGGAAGCGCUGAGACGGCAGACGUACGCGCAGAUAGAGGGCCUCGAGCACCUGCCCGCCACUGGUGCGGCAGCGGUUGCCCUGCGCGGAACGUCGCUGUGCGCCAAUCGGAUUCCUUGCGAAGGCGGCGACGCGACGGCUGGAACCUAUUCAAAGAAUUUUGUCACUCGUAUUCUUGCGCGCAUCGACGCCCUGGAGAUGCAGCUAGCCAUGGUCCCGAAAAAGGAUACGGUUGCCCCCGCAGGGGCAUUCUCCAUGGGUGAUGUAGCGUUGCACCUUAACUCUCAGCCGAAUCCGGCGAGCGGCGACACCGUCGCGAGAGAAUUUCCGGCGGCGAGAAGCUCCGUGGAUGCUGCGCUUCCUGUUAUAAGAGAGUGGCUGCAGCGAGAGGGUGUCGGCGAAGCCGAGGUGGAGCCGACGGAUGUCAUUGUCCCGCCGGGCCGCAACCCUUCGGAAGCCAUGGGCUUCCUCUGUGCUACGGUGCCUGUCAAGCAUCGUCACCUCUCCUUACCGGUGACCCUCCAGCUGAUGGAGUCUAUGUGGACGGCGCGGGCAAAAGCUCCUGAAUCAUCACGGCUGCCGCAGUUUUUUCUCGAGUGGCUGCAAACGCAGGCAGGCAACCCCACAGAGGCAAAAGCACUUGGUGUCAACCUACUGGACACGUGCCAGCACAAUAUUCAUCACCCCGAUUGCCGCGCCCUGCUCGCCGUUCUAAGGGGUUUUCUUCCGGAGGAGCUCGUGCGCAUGUGUCGGCGCCGCAUCGCGCAGCUGCGCCUCUCCACCGUGACAUCCGCCGCUACGCUUCACAACAAGAUGGCGUUCGACGCCUUCUUUGUUGAGGUGCGCGCGGUUUGCCCGGAGAAGUCGUUGGCCAACAUGCUCCAUCUGCGCUUCACCGUUUUUCGCAGUAGAAACGAGGCGGGGGAGGUUGAACUGGACCAUGUGCUCUCCGAGGACUCUUACUUUGUGACGCUGUUCAAGCAGCAGUGGUUGCAGGAAGUGGAGGCCUUCACGCUGCGCGUGGUCGAGGGCAUCCGCGAUGAAAGCGACGAGAAACGAAACAGUGCUUCCCUCGCCAAGGCAACUCGCGUCCUGCAACGGCUUGACGCGGCUCUGGGCGAGGAGGUCUACACGUACGUCUCCCUCGCAAGUCAGCGACCUGUCAUCGAUGUUUCUGCCACCGAAGGCACCACAGUCCCACUGGACGCGAUGUUGCGCCGCUUUCGCACCUCUGUGCUGCUUUAUCGUCGGAGCCCCGAGGAGCUGGUGGAUAUCUAAACUGCGCUCUCCGCAGACACUGAAUGCGGCUUCUCAUCCCACUUUUGCACAUGCGCGUGCCGACCACCGGUGCUUCCUCCGUCGCACCAAUGCGGCGUGCUCUUGUGCGUGUGUGUCUUCGAUGUACGAUAUUGUGUUGCCUACGCUUUUUCUUUGUUUUCUUUUUAACGCGCCUUGCUCUUGCUUGUACAUUCUCACACGAAAAAAAAAACACAAUUCAAUCCGCGCUGGUGCGACUCCACCAAACACGCGAUCAGACGACACACCAAGUACAUGCGAAUAGAGGUGUGCAUUGAAUCAUGCAACUGCGGCCCGUUUAUCACUGGUGGGCGUUGCUGUCACCACUCCUUCCUUCUUUGGGUCCCACCUGCCCCGAAGAGGUGCCCUUUUCCUGCAACGUCGGCGCUGUACUGGGGCACCUGCCCCCUUUUUUCGUGCUAGCGUCGCAUGAGCGAGCUGUGGGCUACCGCUUAUGCUCUCGCUCGCUGUCGCGGUCGGAGGUGCGGCAACCGUCUUGAUUUCGUGGACUCGCCUCACCCGCACGAAUGUUUCUUUCAGUUUGCUUGCUCGUGUUCCUCUGCGCCUUUUCUUUGCCCAAAAAAUUUUCGUGGAUGAUGCUGUGGCUCUGCUACUGUCAUGUGCGCGCUACCACGCACAUCAG